rnacentral:misc_RNA from 1 species
GAUGAAGAACGUAGCGAAAUGCGAUAAGUAAUGCGAAUUGCAGAAUUCAGUGAAUCAUCGAAUCUUUGAACGCACAUUGCGCCCGCCAGUAUUCUGGCGGGCAUGCCUGUUCGAGCGUCAUUUCAACCAUCAAGCCCCCGGCUUGUGUUGGGGACCUGCGGCUGCCGCAGGCCCUGAAAACCAGUGGCGGGCUCGCUAGUCACUCCGAGCGUAGUAAUACAUCUCGCUCAGGGCGUGCUGCGGGUUCCGGCCGUUAAAAGCCUUAUUUACCCAAGGUUGACCUCGGAUCAGGUAGGAAGACCCGCUGAACUUAAGCAUAUCAAUAAGCGGAGGA